UACGUAGGUGGCGAGCGUUAUCCGGAAUGAUUGGGCGUAAAGGGUGCGUAGGCGGCCUGCUAAGUCUGGAGUGAAAGGUACCGGCUCAACCGGUACAGGCUCUGGAAACUGGCGGGCUAGAGAGCAGGAGAGGGCGGUGGAACUCCAUGUGUAGCGGUAAAAUGCGUAGAUAUAUGGAAGAACACCAGUUGCGAAGGCGGCUCUCUGGACUGUAACUGACACUGAGGCACGAAAGCGUGGGGAGCAAACAGG
rnacentral:rRNA from 1 species